GCCCGGGUGGUGAAACUGGCAGACACAGAGUACUUAAAAUCCUCCGCCUCAUGGCAUGCGGGUUCGAGUCCCGCCCCGGGUA
rnacentral:tRNA from 1 species